GCGUUUACGUGGCUCUAUCGUGGCCGUUCCGUAUGUUCUAUCCAGGCCAUUGCUGCGUGGUCUGCUGUUCCCGAAGGUUCUCGUGUGCGCUGGUCUCUUGGCGAUGCCGCUUCCGGCUGGAUCUCUGGAGGCGAACGGCAGAUUUCUUCUCGGGCAGUGCCCGUGGCCGGCUGGUUCCCAUUUCCCUGUCAGUUCGCGGGCCUACCACUGCUCAGCUAGUCACUGCAGGCGCAUUCGUGGCUGGGAGCUCGAGCACACCGGCGAGGCAGUGGCCAGGUCGAGGUUCUGCAGGAGCAACAUGGUGGCGCCGCCGCCGCUGCCUUCGACGGAGGAGGAACCAGGGGCGUCCCUGGUGGCCACCUGCUCAAGAGGGGGAGGGACGAGCUGGCAGAUACCUCGGCGAGGUCAUCUCCUCAACCAACACUUUUCAGCAAAGUAGAUCCACCGAUGUGUACUGACAAACACAGAUAAUUAAUCCAAGAAAGCGGCAGAAUGGGAAAUCUACAUAUGAAAAGCAUUUCAGCUUGGCAAAGAAUAAUGAGACUAAAAGAGCUAGAGAUGAAUGUUCCCUCCUACAUCCACCCUUGAGCUGCUCCUAACAAAUCCUGCUUCUUCCAAGUGCCCAGCCGCUCCAUGGUGUGCUUCCAGAAUGAAUCACACAAGCAGAAGGCAUGUGUUUCUUCUCUUGUGAUUGGUGAUAAUAAGAAACCCCUCAGUUACCUUCUUUGUGAUUGUUGUAGAUAUAUGCGAUAUCACCUCUCUACUUGAAGAUGAUUCUCUCAGUGGAUGCUCCGCUUGCAGAUGGUAACUAAUGCAGACUUGCUCAAAUAAUUCCUUCUUUGAAAGGUUGGUCCAACAUAUGCCUAAAGUAUUUCCUAAUUGUUCCAUCGUUUCACUCCCAGUUCUAAAUGUCUUUGUUCCUCCCUGAAAGUUUGGUGACCAGUUACAGAAUGUCCAGUGUAUUUAUAUGGGUGCUGAGGACUUUCCUAUGGCUUGUGCCAUAGCUAAUCUCUCCCACAGGAUGGCUGCUAAACUUACAAUGAUCCUUGGGAAACGGAAUUAUGGGUGUUGAGGACUUUCCUAUCUAGCAUUAGGUGACGAAGACUGCAUUCUUGGCAAAAUCGCUUCGGUCAACCAAUUUAUGCUUAUUGCUCCAGGAUUUUUUUUCCACUUAUGUAGGAUAAGAUUUGGGCUUGUUUUGGCAAGAUGCAAGCUUAUGAUGGCUAUUAGGAUAAAACUAAGAUUCGUGUUAAUCCCAAAAGUUUGUUUUAGGUUCUACGGAGUAUUCAUUUUUUGAAAAUAUAGUGGUUUGUGUAUAUCAUCUUUUGUUUCUUUCUCUGGAAACUAAGAUAUUUGCCGGCACAAGCAACUGAAUUGAAGCAUGCAAGGAACUA